GCCGGAAUAGCUAGAGCGUUAGACUGAAUAUCUAAAGGUCCCUGGUUCGAUCCCGGGUUUCGGCA